UAAAAUGGGCUAACACUGAAAGAACCUUGCAGAAUCUCAGCAACGUCACAGAGGACAUUGUUAGCACAGCCAGCGGGCUCCUGCUGGGCUGAGUUUGUGGGUAAUCCAAGCCUCGGCAGGUACAGUUCCUCCCUCAGGGCCCAGGACACAGUGAGCAUACAAUAGACAUUAGCUGCUGUGGUGUCUUGAUUUCAAGCCCAGUGCAGAUGCAUCUGACUUACGAAACUUCAGUGACACCUGCUCUGUGCCAGACACUGAAGAUGGAGCAGUGAACAGCACUGACCCAGCCUGUCCUCCUGUUGCCUGCAGGCCAGAAGCAAGGUCUCGCUGUGUUACCCUGGCUGGAGUGCAGUGGCUACUUACAGGCAUGAUCAUAGCAUACUGCAGCCUCGAACUCCUGGACUAGAGCAGUUCUCCUGCCUCAGCCUCCAGAGCAGCUGGGACUGCAGACACGCACCACAGAGCCCAGCCUGAGUCAUUUUGAUUCUGUAACUGGCUUCCUCUCGGCGGGCAGGCUCACACCCUCCACCCCCAGCUGGAGAUGGAAGGAGGAUGCUCACCGCCCAUUCCUCAUGCAGGCCAUCGAUGGAAAUGUCAGACAGUGCGAGUCCACGCCUGAACACUUCUGGGGUCCGCUCUGGGACUGACACUGGCAGAUCCAUCGAUGCCGUUCCAUUGUUUGCUGACUUUCAUUGAUUCUAUGAGAAGUCUGCAGUCUUUUGCAGCGUUGUUUUCCUAUGUAUAAUUGUCUCCUCCCACCCCACUCACCCCAGCUGCUUUCCACAUUCUCUCUCUUUGAUUUUCAGCAGUCUGCCCAUGAUGUGCCUAAA
rnacentral:lncRNA from 1 species